rnacentral:misc_RNA from 1 species
UCUCCGUUGGUGAACCAGCGGAGGGAUCAUUACAGGACUCGCAAGACUCCUUCACCCUGUGAACCUCACUACAAGCACGUUGCUUCGGCGGGUGUCCCGGCGGGGGUUUUCCCUCGCCGGGGCGCACAGCCCGCCGGCGGCCUGCUAUACUCUGUCUCUUUGCGUUGGCAUCUCGAGAAAAAACAAACAAGUUAAAACUUUCAACAACGGAUCUCUUGGUUCUG